AUAGGUGAGUGCGUACACGUAUACAUAAUACUAUUACGGAGAGAAAAAAAAAAAAAAAAAAAAACGUAAUAUAAUAUAAUAAUAAUAUUAUUAUUAUCCGAACGGGCGUAUACCAUAACGUACCAUCGUAUUAUUAUUAUUAUUAUAUACCGUUUGUCCGGUUAAUUUUUUUUUUCUCCCCCGUCCUCCGAAACCGCAGUCGUGGGCGACUCGUUUUUUUUUUCUUUUUUUUUUUUUUAUUGUUACACGUUAUUAUAAGCAUACUUAAUACGAAAUAUUUAAUACGCGCGCGCCGCAAACGUUUACGGGGAAAUUUUGUUUUGUUUUUUUUUUUUUUUUUUAUUGUUUUUCGCACACCUACAAUACGCCGCGGCGCGCGUUAUGAUUGUCAGCUCGCCGCAGAGAG